rnacentral:rRNA from 1 species
UACGAAGUGGGCUAGCGUUGCUCGGAAUCACUGGGCGUAAAGCGCACGUAGGCGGCUUUUUAAGUCAGGGGUGAAAUCCUGGAGCUCAACUCCAGAACUGCCCUUGAUACUGAGGAGCUUGAGUUCGGGAGAGGUGAGUGGAACUGCGAGUGUAGAGGUGAAAUUCGUAGAUAUUCGCAAGAACACCAGUGGCGAAGGCGGCUCACUGGCCCGAGACUGACGCUGAGGUGCGAAAGCGUGGGGAGCAAAC